ACUCAAAGGAAUAGACGGGGACCCGCACAAGCGGUGGAGCAUGCGGUUUAAUUCGAUGUUACGCGAAAAACCUUACCAACCCUUGACAUGGUGGUCAUCGGAUCUAGAGAUAGAUCUUUCAGUUCGGCUGGACCACACACAGGUGUUGCAUGGCUGUCGUCAGCUCGUGUCGUGAGAUGUUGGGUUAAGUCCCGCAACGAGCGAAACCCUCAUCCUUAUUUGCCAGCGAGUUAUGUCGGGAACUAUAAGGAAACUGCCGGUGACAAGCCGGAGGAAGGUGGGGACGAUGUCAAGUCAUCAUGGCCCUUAUGGGUUGGGCUACACGCGUGCUACAAUGGUAACCACAAUGAGUAGCUAAGUCGCGAGGCUAAGCAAAUCUCAAAAAGUUAUCUCAGUUCGGAUUGCACUCUGCAACUCGAGUGCAUGAAGUUGGAAUCGCUAGUAAUCGUGGAUCAGAAUGCCACGGUGAAUACGUUCUCGGGUCUUGUACACACCGCCCGU
rnacentral:rRNA from 1 species